UGCCAGUUCUGUAAUUUGGAAGUGGC
rnacentral:piRNA from 1 species